rnacentral:rRNA from 1 species
AACGCUAGCUACAGGCUUAACACAUGCAAGUCGAGGGGCAGCAUGGUCUUAGCUUGCUAACGCCGAUGGCGACCGGCGCACGGGUGAGUAACACGUAUCCAACCUGCCGUCUACUCUUGGACAGCCUUCUGAAAGGAAGAUUAAUACAAGAUGGCAUCAUGAGUCCGCAUGUUCACAUGAUUAAAGGUAUUCCGGUAGACGAUGGGGAUGCGUUCCAUUAGAUAGUACGCGGGGUAACGGCCCACCUAGUCUUCGAUGGAUAGGGGUUCUGAGAGGAAGGUCCCCCACAUUGGAACUGACACACGGUCCAAACUCCUACGGGAGGCAGCAGUGAGGAAUAUUGGUCAAUGGGCGAGAGCCUGAACCAGCCAAGUAGCGUGAAGGAUGACUGCCCUAUGGGUUGUAAACUUCUUUUAUAAAAGAAUAAAGUCGGGUAUGCAUACCCGUUUACAUGUACUUUAUGAAUAAGGAUCGGCUAACUCCGUGCCAGCAGCCGCGGUAAUACGGAGGAUCCGAGCGUUAUCCGGAUUUAUUGGGUUUAAAGGGAGCGUAGAUGGAUGUUUAAGUCAGUUGUGAAAGUUUGCGGCUCAACCGUAAAAUUGCAGUUGAUACUGGAAAUCUUGAGUGCAGUUGAGGCAGGCGGAAUUCGUGGUGUAGCGGUGAAAUGCUUUAUAUAUCCACGAAGAACUCCGAUAGCGAAGGCAGCCUGCUAAGCUGCAACUGACACUGAGGCUCGAAAGUGUGGGUAUCAAACAGGAUUAGAUCCCGUGGUAGUCCACACGAUAAACGAUGAAUACUCGCUGUUUGCGAUAUAUGGCAAGCGGCCAUGUCAAAGCAUUAAGUAUUCCAACUGGGGAGUACGCAGGACACCAGUGAAACUCAAAGGAAUGGACGG